GGCUUCCUAGCUCAAUGGUAGAGCAGCUGACUCUUAAUCAGUUGGUUCGGGGUUCGAGUCCCCGGGGAGCCACCA
rnacentral:tRNA from 4 species